rnacentral:lncRNA from 1 species
AUGAGUUCUUUAUUCCCUCCCACUCCACACCUCUCUCCUCGGCCCCAUUCUCUGGGUUGUGCUUCGUUCUCUGAGGAAGAAUGCAGCUUUUCAUCUUAUCAAGAGUGGCCCAGAAGAGGGGCAACUAGGGGAAUUCCUAUAUGGUGGAGAGACUUUCGAUCGCUUCAACAUCUCCAAUGGCGUGAAACAAGGCUGUGUCCUCGCUCCGGUACUCUUCAACCUAUCCUUCACCCAGGUAUUACAACAUGCUGUGAUGGAUCUAAAUCUGGGCGUCUACAUCAAAGACUGACUGGAUUGCUCACUAUUUGACCUUCGCCGCCUGACUGCAAAAACAAAGACAACAGAGAGACUCAUCCUGGAAGCUCUCUUCACAGAUGACUGUGCUCUCAUGACCCACCAAGAAAAUCAUCUCCAAACCAUUGUGGACAGGUUCUCCACCACAACAAAACUGUUUGGCCUGACUGUCACCCUCAGCAAAACAGAGGUGCUGUUCCAACCUGCACCAGGGAAGCCAACAAUCCAGCCGUGCAUUACAAUCGACGGCACGGCAGCUUUCUAACGUCAACACCUUUAAGUACCUCAGCAGCACCAUCGCCAACGACGGGUCCCUAGACCACGAGAUUAUUGCCAGGAUCCAAAAGGCCAGCCAGGCAAUCGGGCGGCUGCGCUCCAAAGUCCUCCAACACAGCGGUGUAAGCACUGCGACGAAGCUCAAAGUGUACAACGCAGUGGUCCUCAGCUCACUCCUGUACGGUUGUGAGACAUGGACACUGUACUGGAAGCACAUGAAGCAGCUGGAGCAAUUCCACCAACGCUCCCUCUGGUCAAUCAUGAGGAUCCAAUGGCAGGACUGAAUCACCAACCAGGAAGUCCUCGACAGAGCCAACUCCACCAGCAUCGAAGUCAUGGUCCUCAGAACCCAGCUACGAUGGUCUGGACACGUCAUCCGCAUGGACCCACAGCGAAUACCAAGACAGGUAUUCUAUGGUGAACUGUCAGCUGGACUCAGGAAACAAGGCCGACCAAAGAAAAGAUUCAAGGACUAGCUAAAGUCAAACUUGAAGUGGGCUGACAUUACACCAAAGCAACUAGAACCUGCUGUCUCUAUCAGAAGCAGCUGGUGAACCCACAUUAACCAUGCUGCCAUCACCUUUGAAGAUGAGCAACGUCAAUGUCUUGCCACUGCGCGUGAACGCCAAUACCAGGCCACAACCGCACCUCCCGUAACAACUGGCGUCCCAGGCCCCAUGUGCCACAAACUCUGCGCCUCAGCCUUUGGACUCCAAAGCCAUAUGAGGGUACAUCAAUA